GUGAAGAAUUCAUGUUUGCUAAUUAAAUAUCCACAAAUUAAAAUAACCAUAAUGUGUAAUUUUUCAGCCAUCAGAUGGGCAGAGACUUUUCUCAAUGAUAUUCUCCAAUGUGGUUAGGGGUGUGGGCAACUAGGUGCUCUCAAAUGCUUCUGGUGGGAGUGUAAAUUGGGAGAAUCUUCCUUGAAGGCAACUUGGAAAUAUGUGUCGAAAGCAGCUUUUCAAAAAACCAACUUUUUGGUUCAUUGAUCGUUUGUAUCGUAUUUCUUCUACUAAUUUUGGGUUGUUUUGCUCUUGAUUCUAGAAUUUCUGCUUGAUUUUAAAAAUUAAUCUCUUUGUUAAAUUUAUCUGAUAGAAUUCUGAAUUCCUUUUCUAUAUUGUCUUGAAUUUGUUUGAGUUUAAGGACAUAUUCUACUAAAAGAUAAAAAUAUAUUUGUGCAUCUAUGCAAAAGAAUCAAGUCACUUAUUAGGGAAAGAAAAUCAAACUGACGCUAGACUUCUCAACAAUACCACUUCAUACUAGAAAACAGUGGAGCCACAUAUUUCAGAUACAUGCUUACUUUAACUUAGCAGACACACAGUCACAGAAGACUUUGGUCCAGAAAAAAGGGUUUACAAACCAUCCUUCCAUUCAGGAUGGGGAGAAAAAGUCAAAUAUGUAUCAUUAGAAAUGUCUUCUGAGUAGCAAUUGGCAGUUAUUUAACCACUUUUAUAUGAACCAUCAGACUAACAGUGGAUCUCUUUGCAGAAACCCUACAAGCCAGAAUAGAAUGGGGCCAGUAUUCAACAUUCUUAAAGAAAAGAAUUUUCAACCCAGAAUUUCAUAUCCAGCCAACCUAAGCUUCAUAAGUGAAGGAGA
rnacentral:lncRNA from 1 species